rnacentral:pre_miRNA from 1 species
CCACCUGCUAUUUUGCUCGAUCCAGAGUUUAGCCUAGCGUCUUUCUUCUCAAGAGGAAUGAACGCUGGGUUGGUGAGCAAAGUUUCAGGUGUGC